GCCGGUGUAGCUCAGUUAGUAGAGCAGCUGAUUUGUAAUCAGCAGGUCAUUGGGUUAGCGCCCGAUAGCCGGCU
rnacentral:tRNA from 1 species